ACACUGAUGGUGAAGUGGUUAUCAUGCUUGCCUUCCACUUCAGUGUAGCAAGCGGCAGGGGUUCGAUUCCCCUUCAGUGUA
rnacentral:tRNA from 1 species